CCUACGGGAGGCAGCAGUGGGGAAUAUUGCACAAUGGGGGAAACCCUGAUGCAGCGACGCCGCGUGAGUGAAGAAGUACUUCGUUACGUAAAGCUCUAUCAGCAGGGAAGAAACACUGACCUUACGGUCAGCAGACGGUACCUGCUUAAGAAGCCCCGGCUAACUACGUGCCAGCAGCCGCGGUAAUACGUAGGGGGCAAGCGUUAUCCGGAUUUAUUGGGUUUAAAGGGUGCGUAGGCGGAUUUUUAAGUCAGCGGUAAAAUGUCCGGGCUCAACCCGGGCCGGCCGUUGAAACUGGGGAUCUUGAGUGGGCGAGAAGUAGGCGGAAUGCGUGGUGUAGCGGUGAAAUGCAUAGAUAUCACGCAGAACUCCGAUUGCGAAGGCAGCAUACCGGAGCCCGACUGACGCUGAGGCACGAAAGCGUGGGGAUCGAACAGGAUUAGAUACCCUUGUAGUC
rnacentral:rRNA from 1 species